GGGGAAAAUUAAUAACUUAAAUUUAAUAAAAGAAAUUUUAAUAUUAAAAAGAAAAAUGGGGGUUUGAGUAUUUUUAAUAGAAAAAAUUAAAAGUUUUAUAGUUAAAUAUUACUGUAAAGGAAUUUAUAAAUAAAUGAAAUAUAAUUAAUGAAAAAGUAAAUUUAAAUUAUUGUAUCUUGUGUAUCAGAGUUUAUUAAAUAAUAAUAAUUUAUUUAAAUAAAUCUCGAAUUUAAAAGAGUUAAUUAAUUAAAAAAGUUAAUGUUGUAUAAUUAUUUUAAAUAAUUAAUUAGAAAUGAAAUGUUAAUCGUUUUUAAAUAUAUCUAGUUUUUUCAGAAAAAAAUUUAAUUUUAAAUUUAAAUAAUUUUAUAAUUAUUUAAUUAAUUAUAAAAAUUUAAAUUUUAAUAUUUUAGGGGAUAAGCUUUAAAUUAAAAAUUUAUAAUUAAAAAUAAUUAAAAUUAAAAUUUUUAAAAUUUAUAUUGUUUAAAAAUUAUAGUUUAUUAUAAAAAAUUUUAUUAAAAAUAAAAUUUAAAAUAAAAAAAUUUAAAUUUUUAUGAAAAAAUAAUUUAUAAUUUAAUAAAAUUAGAAAUAAUGAUAAAAUUAGUAUAAUAUAAUAAAUUAAAAAAAAAAUUAUAGAUAAUUAAGUUAAAGGAAUUCGGCAAAAAUUUAUAUUCACUUGUUUAUCAAAAACAUGUCUUUUUGAUAAUAAUUUAAAGUCUAAUCUGCCCACUGAUAUUAUAUUAAAGGGCUGCAGUAUAUUGACUGUACAAAGGUAGCAUAAUCAUUAGUCUUUUAAUUGAAGACUUGUAUGAAAGAUUUGAUGAAAUAUAAACUGUCUCUAAUUUAUGAUUAGAAAUUAAUUUUUUAGUUAAAAAGCUAAAAUAAAAUUAAAAGACGAGAAGACCCUAUAGAGUUUUAUAUUUUAUUUAAUUAAUAUUAAAUAUAUAAUUAAAUAUAUUAAUUAAAUAAAAUAUUGUGUUGGGGUGAUAGAAAAAUUUAAUAAACUUUUUUUAAAAUUAAACAUAAAUAAGUGGUUAAUUGAUCCAUUAAUAAUGAUUAAAAGAAAAAAUUACCUUAGGGAUAACAGCGUAAUAUUUUUUUUUAGUACGUAUAAAAAAAAAAGUUUGCGACCUCGAUGUUGGAUUAAGAUAAAAUUUAAAUGCAAAAGUUUAAAAUUUUGAUCUGUUCGAUCAUUAAAAUCUUACAUGAUCUGAGUUCAAACCGGUGUAAGCCAGGUUGGUUUCUAUCUUUAAUAAAAAAAAAUAUUUUAGUACGAAAGGAUCAAAUAUUUAAAAUAAUUUUAUAAUAAUGAAUAUUAAUAAUAUAGUUUA
rnacentral:rRNA from 1 species